rnacentral:rRNA from 1 species
CCUACGGGUGGCAGCAGUGGGGAAUAUUGGACAAUGGGCGAAAGCCUGAUCCAGCCAUGCCGCGUGUGUGAAGAAGGCCUUCGGGUUGUAAAGCACUUUCAGUGGGGAAGAAAGCCUUGGGGCUAAUACCCUCGAGGAAGGACAUCACCCACAGAAGAAGCACCGGCUAACUCCGUGCCAGCAGCCGCGGUAAUACGGAGGGUGCGAGCGUUAAUCGGAAUUACUGGGCGUAAAGCGCGCGUAGGCGGUCUGAUAAGCCGGUUGUGAAAGCCCCGGGCUCAACCUGGGAACGGCAUCCGGAACUGUCAGGCUAGAGUGCAGGAGAGGAAGGUAGAAUUCCCGGUGUAGCGGUGAAAUGCGUAGAGAUCGGGAGGAAUACCAGUGGCGAAGGCGGCCUUCUGGACUGACACUGACGCUGAGGUGCGAAAGCGUGGGUAGCAAACAGGAUUAGAUACCCCUAGUC